rnacentral:rRNA from 1 species
AGCGAACGUUAGCGGCACGCCUAACACAUGCAAGUCGCACGAGAAAGGGAGCAAUCCUGAGUAGAGUGGCGCACGGGUGCGUAACACGUAGAUAACCUGCCCUUUGGAGGGGGAUAACGUUCCGAAAGGAGCGCUAAUACCGCAUACAGCAAGAGCCGGUUUGCCGGUUUUUGGCAAAGGUAGGGACCCGCAAGGGCCUACCGCCAGAGGAGGGGUCUGCGGCCCAUCAGCUAGUUGGUGAGGUAAUGGCUCACCAAGGCAGAGACGGGUAGCUGGUCUGAGA